GCACUUGUUGAAUAAAUGUUGGUGGCUGAUUUGUAAUCAGUAGGUCCGCGGUUCGAGUCCGUGUGGGGGCA
rnacentral:tRNA from 1 species